GGUCAAGCGAACAAGUGCAUGUGGUGGAUGCCUUGGCGAUCACAGGCGAUGAAGGACGCGGUAGCCUGCGAAAAGCUACGGGGAGCUGGCAAACGAGCUUUGAUCCGUAGAUGUCCGAAUGGGGAAACCCGGCCCUUUUGGGUCAUCCUGGACUGAAUACAUAGGUCUAGUGAAGCGAACGCGGUGAACUGAAACAUCUAAGUAACCGCAGGAAAAGAAAUCAACCGAGAUUCCCAAAGUAGUGGCGAGCGAAAUGGGAUGAGCCUUGCACUCUUUAUUUGUAUUGUUAGCCGAA
rnacentral:rRNA from 1 species